GAUGAACGCUGGCGGCGUGCCUAAUACAUGCAAGUCGAGCGAAUGGAUUAAGAGCUUGCUCUUAUGAAGUUAGCGGCGGACGGGUGAGUAACACGUGGGUAACCUGCCCAUAAGACUGGGAUAACUCCGGGAAACCGGGGCUAAUACCGGAUAACAUUUUGAACCGCAUGGUUCGAAAUUGAAAGGCGGCUUCGGCUGUCACUUAUGGAUGGACCCGCGUCGCAUUAGCUAGUUGGUGAGGUAACGGCUCACCAAGGCAACGAUGCGUAGCCGACCUGGGAGGGUGAUCGGCCACACUGGGACUGAGACACGGCCCAGACUCCUACGGGAGGCAGCAGUAGGGAAUCUUCCGCAAUGGACGAAAGUCUGACGGAGCAACGCCGCGUGAGUGAUGAAGGCUUUCGGGUCGUAAAACUCUGUUGUUAGGGAAGAACAAGUGCUAGUUGAAUAAGCUGACACCUUGACGGUACCUAACCAGAAAGCCACGGCUAACUACGUGCCAGCCGCCGCGGUAA
rnacentral:rRNA from 1 species